AUUGAACGCUGGCGGCAGGCCUAACACAUGCAAGUCGAACGAGUGGCGGACGGGUGAGUAAUGUCUGGGACACUGCCUGAUGGAGGGGGAUAACUACUGGAAACGGUAGCUAAUACCGCAUACCAUCGGAUGUGCCCAGAUGGGAUUAGCUAGUUGGUGGGGUAACGGCUCACCAAGGCGACGAUCCCUAGCUGGUCUGAGAGGAUGACCAGCCGCCCGGGAACUGAGACACGAGCCAGACUCCUACGGGAGGGAGCAGAGGCGAAUAUUGCACAAUGGGCGAAAGCCUGAUGCAGCCAUGCCGCGUGUAUGAAGAAGGCCUUCGGGUUGGAAAGUCCUUUCAGCGGGGAGGCGUUACCCGCAGAAGAAGCACCGGCUAACUCCGUGCCAGCAGCCGCGGUAAUUC
rnacentral:rRNA from 1 species